UCCAGCCGGGUGUCUUCGGACACCUAGCGAAACCGCGGACGGCUCAUUAAAUCAGUUGUGGUCUAAAUGGGCGAGACAGUUUCCUCUGUAGGAUAACUGUGGUAAUUCCAGAGCUAAUACAUGCGACUUUAAAUCACUAGCCUAGCGAUAGGCGACUGAUGCUUUUAUUAGACCGAGGUGAACGGCCGUACGUGUGUCCGCCACUUGUGGUUUGGCGCGUGCGGUUCGCGAUGCUUAAGGUGACUCUGGAUAAAACCUAUGUUAAGCGCACGCAUCGCUAUCGUAGCGGGCGGCGCUGCCACUUUCGAGUGACUGCCUUAUCAGCUAUAACGUUUGUUAUGCGCAAACGCUGGCUCUGACGGGUAACGGGGAAUCAGGGCUCGAUUCCGGAGAGGCAGCCUGAGAGACGGCUACCACGUCCAAGGACGGCAGCAGGCACGCAAAUUACCCAAUCCCAGCACCUGGGGGAGGUAGUGACGAAACAUACCGAUGCGGGCAUCUCUUCGGAGUGCCCGCAAUCAGAAUGGCUAUUUCCUAAAUACCCUAACGAGAACCUACUAAAGGGCAAGUCUGGUGCCAGCAGCCGCGGUAAUUCCAGCUUUAGUGGCGUACACUAAAUUUGUUGAGGUUAAAAGGCUCGCAGUUGAAUGUCUGUUAAAGAGCGUAGAUGGGUCUAGACGUUGGGCUCCUCUAAAGGCCUUGGUUUCUUUAACGAGUUUCCUCGUGUUCCGCGGAGGUUGUUUUCCCGUCUUAUCAGUACCCUCUCGCUCGAUGACAUACGGGCGCUUUCUCGCGAAAUUGGGCUAGUUCUCUAGUCUUUUCGAGCGGGGUUGCGUGUUCGUGUCACCUUGAGUAAAUCAGAGUGCUUAACGCAGUCGCAACGAAGGGUUUUCGAGUGAUCGGGAACCCGAGGCUUGGGACGAAUGCGUUGUGCGGUUCGCCCGUGCAGCGUGCUAGUCCCUGUGACGGUCUUUGCUUUGCAUGGUACGUCGGAAGACGCCGCUUUUACUCGUUGGUCUAUCGCGAAUUCAAUUCGUAUCACGCCAGCGAGUGCGGAAUGAUGUGAUAGGAACGGUCGAGGGCAUUGGUAUUGCGAGGCGAGAGGUGAAAUUCUAUGACCCCCGCAAGACCUCCUGAAGCGAAGGCGUCUGCCAAGGACGUUUUCAUUAAUCAUGAACGAAAGUUAGAGGAUCGAAGGCGAUCAGAUACCGCCCUAGUUUUAACCGUAAACGAUAUUAACCAUCGAUCCGCGUGAGCACCCUCGUUACGUGCGUGUGAUUAGCCUAAUAAGCGGCACGUACGUGACAGUGUGGGCUCGGCGGGCAGCUCCCCCGGGAGGAAACUUUUAAGUUAGAUUCCUGGGGGAGUCUGGUUGCAAAGCUGAAACUUAAAGGAAUUGACGGAAAGGCACCACCAGGCGUGGAGCUUGCGGCUCAAUUUGACUCAACACGGGCAAACUUACCAGGCCAGCACGGUCGUACGAUUGACAGAUUGAAAGCUCUUUCUCGAUUGAGUGGAUGGUGGUGCAUGGCCGUUCUUAGUUGGUGGAGUGAUCUGUCUGGUUAAUUCCGAUAACGAACGAGACUCUCCCCUGCUAACCGGCGCUUUUAAACGCAGUAGACGGCGUGAUUUCAAGGUAAGAAGCUCUCGUGUUGCGCGCUCUGCGUGUUUAUGCGGGAUGUCUUCGGACGAGUCCGCUGAUCUCCUUGGCUCCGUUUUCGUGCCGCUUUCGUCCGUCGUGUUCGCGGGAGAUUUCUUGUUGCGCGGCGUUUGGGCUUGCUCUUGCGUCGUGUGCUGGGGGUUUCUACGUUGUUUCGCGUGUUCGUUGGCGUAGUGCGACUAGCGUCCUCGGAGAGCGUAUCUUCUUAGAGGUAUUGACGACUCUUCAAAGUCGUAAGAGACAGAGAGCAAUAACAGGUCUGUGAUGCCCUUAGAUGUUCUGGGCCGCACGCGAGCUACAAUGCCGGGUACAGCGGGUACUUUAUCCUAUACCGAGAGGUACGGGUAACCCUGUGAAAACCUAGUUAGAUUUCCGUAAGGAUUUCGCGUGGCUCGCUUGGGCCUGGGGCUUGCAAUUCUUUCCCACAAACGAGGAAUGCCUAGUAGUGGCGGAUCACUGAGCCCGCAGCGACUUAGUCCCUGCCCUUUGUACACACCGCCCGUCGCUACUACCGAUUGAGUGUACCAGUGAGAUCCUCGGACUGGCGAACCCAAGCGCCUUCGCGGGCGUUAGGGCGAACGCUGGAAAGAGGCCCGAACUGGUGCACUA
rnacentral:rRNA from 1 species